GUGGGGAAUAUUGCACAAUGGGGGAAACCCUGAUGCAGCGACGCCGCGUGAGCGAAGAAGUAUUUCGGUAUGUAAAGCUCUAUCAGCAGGGAAGAAGAAAUGACGGUACCUGACUAAGAAGCACCGGCUAAAUACGUGCCAGCAGCCGCGGUAAUACGUAUGGUGCAAGCGUUAUCCGGAUUUACUGGGUGUAAAGGGAGCGCAGGCGGAAGGCUAAGUCUGAUGUGAAAGCCCGGGGCUCAACCCCGGUACUGCAUUGGAAACUGGUCAUCUAGAGUGUCGGAGGGGUAAGUGGAAUUCCUAGUGUAGCGGUGAAAUGCGUAGAUAUUAGGAGGAACACCAGUGGCGAAGGCGGCUUACUGGACGAUAACUGACGCUGAGGCUCGAAAGCGUGGGGAGCAAACAGGAUUAGAUACCCUUGUAGUCC
rnacentral:rRNA from 1 species